rnacentral:lncRNA from 1 species
AAUUUGCUUCUCUAUAUAUGUUCAGACAGCGUCCACAUCCCUUGCUUUAUUUUUAUUUUUUCCAGCAAAACAUAAUCUCAACUCAACAAUUCUCCAGUGUAUAUGAGCUAGCUGAAGCGUCCCACCAAAAUAAAUGUAUACUUUACGGCAACCUUGUGCUCCUGAGUUGAUGAGUUGAUUUGAGUCGAGGGGCGUCGACAGAGAACAAGGUGAAGCUGGCGCCACUAGGACAGGGGAUAGUUGAUGAAACGCGUGGUGUUUAGCAAGAGAUGCAAGGAGUUAGCUAAAACCUGGGAAUAAAGUUUGAUAGCAGGAGUGAGCAGAAGUCAGCCACAUUCAAUGACGAUAUCCGAUCUUGUCAAGAAUCUGAUACCCAAAAGAGAGAGGCCAUCUCUCUUGUAGAUUCUUCCUCGAGGAAAUCAACGAGUGAAUGUUUCAAGAUAGUCCAAGG